rnacentral:rRNA from 1 species
CCUACGGGAGGCAGCAGUGGGGACUAUUGCACAAUGGGGGGAACCCUGAUGCAGCGACGCCGCGUGAGUGAAGAAGUAUUUCGGUAUGUAAAGCUCUGUCAGCAGGGAAGAAGAAAGACGGUACCUGACCAAGAAGCCCCGGCUAACUACGUGCAAGCAGCUGCGGUAAUACGUAGGUGGCAAGCGUUAUCCGGAUUUACGUGGUGUAAAGGGAGCGUAGACGGCAGUGCAAGUCUGGAGUGAAAGGCAGGGGCCCAACCCCUGGACUACUGUGGAAACUGUCCGGCUGGAGUGCAGGAGAGGUAAGGGGAAUUCCUGGUGUAGCGGUGAAAUGCGUAGAUAUUAGGAGGAACACCAGUGGCGAAGGCGGCUUACUGGACUGUAACUGACGUUGAGGCUCGAAAGCGUGGGGAGCAAACAGGAUUAGAUACCCGGGUAGUC